rnacentral:tRNA from 1 species
GCUGAAUUCUAUAUUAAACUAUUCCCUG